rnacentral:rRNA from 1 species
GUAGUCAUAUGCUUGUCUCAAAGAUUAAGCCAUGCAUGUCUAAGUAUAAGCAAUUAUACCGCGAAACUGCGAAUGGCUCAUUAAAUCAGUUAUCGUUUAUUUGAUAGUACCUUACUACUUGGAUAACCGUGGUAAUUCUAGAGCUAAUACAUGCUAAAAACCCCAACUCACGAAGGGGUGUAUUUAUUAGAUUAAAAACCAAUGCCCUUCGGGGCUCUUUGGUGAUUCAUAAUAACUUUUCGAAUCGCAUGGCCUUGCGCCGGCGAUGGUUCAUUCAAAUUUCUGCCCUAUCAACUUUCGAUGGCAGGGUCUUGGCCUGCCAUGGUUACAACGGGUAACGGGGAAUG